rnacentral:rRNA from 1 species
CCUACGGGUGGCUGCAGUGGGGAAUAUUGGACAAUGGGCGAAAGCCUGAUCCAGCCAUGCCGCGUGUGUGAAGAAGGCCUUCGGGUUGUAAAGCACUUUCAGUGGGGAAGAAAGCCUUGGGGCUAAUACCCUCGAGGAAGGACAUCACCCACAGAAGAAGCACCGGCUAACUCCGUGCCAGCAGCCGCGGUAAUACGGAGGGUGCGAGCGUUAAUCGGAAUUACUGGGCGUAAAGCGCGCGUAGGCGGUCUGAUAAGCCGGUUGUGAAAGCCCCGGGCUCAACCUGGGAACGGCAUCCGGAACUGUCAGGCUAGAGUGCAGGAGAGGAAGGUAGAAAUCCCGGUGUAGCGGUGAAAUGCGUAGAGAUCGGGAGGAAUACCAGUGGCGAAGGCGGCCUUCUGGACUGACACUGACGCUGAGGUGCGAAAGCGUGGGUAGCAAACAGGAUUAGAUACCUGGUAGUC